rnacentral:pre_miRNA from 1 species
UUUGGGUACUGGUGGGGUCCCUCGGCCUGGCCUGCACCCUCUUGCAAUCUGGGACCUCUCAGGGGAUGUCAGAGAGCUAGUUUUGGCCCAAUCCCUGCAGGCCAGGCUGAGGGACCCCACCAAUGCAUG